GAUGAACGCUGGCGGCGUGCCUAAUACAUGCAAGUCGAGCGAACGGACGAGAAGCUUGCUUUUCUGAUGUUAGCGGCGGACGGGUGAGUAACACGUGGAUAACCUACCUAUAAGACUGGGAUAACUUCGGGAAACCGGAGCUAAUACCGGAUAAUAUUUUGAACCGCAUGGUUCAAAAGUGAAAGACGGUCUUGCUGUCACUUAUAGAUGGAUCCGCGCUGCAUUAGCUAGUUGGUAAGGUAACGGCUUACCAAGGCAACGAUGCAUAGCCGACCUGAGAGGGUGAUCGGCCACACUGGAACUGAGACACGGUCCAGACUCCUACGGGAGGCAGCAGUAGGGAAUCUUCCGCAAUGGGCGAAAGCCUGACGGAGCAACGCCGCGUGAGUGAUGAAGGUCUUCGGAUCGUAAAACUCUGUUAUUAGGGAAGAACAUAUGUGCAAGUAACUGUGCACAUCUUGACGGUACCUAAUCAGAAAGCCACGGCUAACUACGUGC
rnacentral:rRNA from 1 species